AUUGAACGCUGGCGGCGUGCUUAACACAUGCAAGUCGAGCGAUGAAGUUCCUUCGGGAAUGGAUUAGCGGCGGACGGGUGAGUAACACGUGGGUAACCUGCCUCAUAGAGGGGAAUAGCCUUCCGAAAGGAAGAUUAAUACCGCAUAAGAUCGUAGUUUCGCAUGAAACAGCAAUUAAAGGAGUAAUCCGCUAUGAGAUGGACCCGCGUCGCAUUAGCUAGUUGGUGAGGUAACGGCUCACCAAGGCGACGAUGCGUAGCCGACCUGAGAGGGUGAUCGGCCACAUUGGGCCUGAGACACGGCCCGGACUCCUACGGGAGGCAGCAGUGGGGAAUAUUGCACAAUGGGGGAAACCCUGAUGCAGCAACGCCGCGUGAGUGAUGACGGUCUUCGGAUUGUAAAACUCUGUCUUCAGGGACGAUAGUGACGGUACCUGAGGAGGAAGCCACGGCUAACUACGUGCCAGCCGCCGCAGUAA
rnacentral:rRNA from 1 species